UUCACGUUUAAAUAUUCAGUCAAAUAAAGGUUGAUACAAUCCUAGUUCUGAUUGAAAUGGAAGUAAAAGUUUUGUUUUGUUUGUGUGUUUUACUGCAUUGCAUACUACUGGCAUCGUCUUUCCAUGGAAAAGUUUUGUUUUCAGAUUUAUCUUCAAUAAUGGAAUGUGAUGUUGAUACAGGUAUUGUGAUUGUUCUGGUUCACACUGGAGGGAGUGCAGUGUAUGCAUUGGAUUACGAUUACGAAAACAGAUACUUGUAUUUCACAAGAACUGCAUUAGUGCCUGCCAUUGUAAGAUUUCCAUAUCCCUCAAAGAACAUGACAAUACAGACAGUUGUCCACACAGGGCCAUAUCCAGUAGGAGUAGCUGUUGAUUCAGCCAAUGAUCAUUUAUACUGGAUCGAUCAUCAUAUGAACACACUAUCAAGAUGCAAUCUAGAUGGAACCAAUAUAAUAGUUUUAUCAACUUUGAUCAAACCGUGGGUGAUACGACUUGAUGUUACAAAAAGGUGGAUGUAUAUAGCUGAUUACAGUUCUGGAAUUUUAAAGUAUAGAUAUGAUUUAGCUGAAGAGCAGACAAUUGUAAAUUUUACAUCAACAUCUGUUUUUAACAUGGAUAUAGACACUGAUGAAAACAGAUUGUAUUGGAUUAAUCAGGACGGUGACAUGAAAUCAGCUAAAGACGAUGGCUGUGAUAUAAACAAAAUUAUUUCAACGAAUUUUCGAAAAAAACUACGUAGCUAUUUGUGUCUUUGGUAGUUACAUAUAUUAUGGUAAUGGAAAACAUUUGUUAAUGGUAAACAAAGUACCUGAAUCAACACCGACUCUACUAUAUAGCGAUACCAGCAGGAUUGAGAGUAUAUUUGUUUUUAAACAAACAGGUAUGUAAACAGCCAUGUAUCAUACCAAGAGGCAGUCUGGGAAUAAAACUACACUGUAAUUGAUAGUUGAUUUCGCGAUACAUAAAGCUAUUCAAAUAUAAGUAAUUUACAUAAUGUUGCAAAUCUACUAACUGUAACUACUGUCAUCAGUAUAUUUUGUAAACAAUAAAGAUUUGACAACAAUAUAGUUUUGAAGCACCUUUUUAAAUGUACUUACAUUAAAUGAGUAAUCAGUUAGAUAUGAUUCUUGGUAUUCAAAUUGAAUAAAAACUAUACAUGAGACCCUAUAUUAUUCACUAAAUAGUGAUAUGCAUAAUUGCACUUGUUUCGUUUAUUGUUGAUAAAACUCAAAUACAAAACAAAGGCUUCAAUUAAUUGAGAUUAACCUGUCAAAAAUAGAUGCAACUUGAUUUAGCCCGUAUCGUUUCAAUUUUUGUUUUUAUAUUUGUUAAGUUAGCGUAUGGUGUAUACUGUUCUUCCAUAAAUGUUUACACUAUAUAUAAUCAUUGUUUGUUGCUUUGGCACUAACAUACUCGUAACAUAUGUUAAUGUAUUUAUUUGCUAUUGCUUUGUUGCCUCUGUGUUUUCGUCUGAACCUUGUAUGCAUAUUGUUGUUAUGUUUUCAUAUUUGUUUUAAGUUUCUUAUUUUCACAGAUAACUUUUUAAUUUCAUUAUACAGAAAAAGUUUACUUACUUUAGAUGUACCUUUUUUUACCGUUGAUUUAAUGUUAAUUCAUGUAUUAUAUAACAAUUUCAUGAUAGUUGAUAAUAGUACUUAUAGUCAAAUUGAAUAUUUCGUUUAGCAUGAUAAUUGUUAACGCUAACAACUUAGUUUUGCAAUCAUCGAUUUUGUUUUAACUUCAAUGAUUAAAAUUGUAUUGAAGGAAGAACUUGACAAAAAGAGUAAUUCUACAAACGAUAAGAAAGUUCCUAUUCUUUCAUCAUUAUAUACAAUAUUUCUUUUAGAACGUUGGCAACAUAACUAAGUUUUUGAAAUAGAAUAUUGAUAUCCUUCAAAUUUGAAUCAAAGCAUACAUUAGAUUUUAGAAAUAUGAAUAAUGAUUUAAAGUGAUAAAAUUAUAAAUAAAAAAAAGAUAUGUAAACAUGUAAAUAAAUUGAUGAAUACAAUAUAAUAUUUUCAUUUCGUUAUAUCUGACUGGAGUAGGUACGUAAAAACUACUAACGACAAAAAUAAAAAAGAACCUGGAAAAAACAACAUUACCAGAUAUUGGAAAACUGUGGGUUAUGAAGAUUACAGUGAAAACGCCUAAAUUAUUGCUAAACCAUCAUGUGAGACACUAAAUGAGGAGACUCCUGAUUACUUUGAUGAAAAUAUAUAGAUGGUUGACUGACCGUAUCAACUGUUGGUAAAGUGUUGAUGCCGAUAUAUAUAUAUAUAU